rnacentral:rRNA from 1 species
UACGAAGGGUGCAAGCGUUACUCGGAAUUACUGGGCGUAAAGCGUGCGUAGGCGGUUCGUUAAGUCUGUCGUGAAAGCCCUGGGCUCAACCUGGGAAUUGCGAUGGAUACUGGCGAGCUAGAGUACGGUAGAGGAUGGUGGAAUUCCCGGUGUAGUGGUGAAAUGCGUAGAGAUCGGGAGGAACACCCGUGGCGAAGGCGGCCAUCUGGACCAGCACUGACGCUGAGGCACGAAAGCGUGGGGAGCAAACAGG